rnacentral:rRNA from 1 species
AGCGAACGCUGGCGGCAGGCCUAACACAUGCAAGUCGAACGGGCUUCUUCGGAAGUCAGUGGCAGCCGGGUGAGUAACACGAGGGAACGUGACCUUCGGUUCGGACUAACUCAAGGAGACUUGAGCUAAUACCUGAUACGCCCUUUUGGGGAAAGGUUUACUGUCGAAGCAUCGGCCCGCGUCUGAUUAGCUUGUUGGUGGGGUAACGGCCUACCAAGGCGACGAUCAGUAGCUGGUCUGAGAGGAUGAUCAGCCACACUGGGACUGAGACACGGCCCAGACUCCUACGGGAGGCAGCAGUGGGGAAUAUUGGACAAUGGGCGCAAGCCUGAUCCAGCCAUGCCGCGUGAGUGAUGAAGGCCUUAGGGUUGUAAAGCUCUUUUGUACGGGACGAUAAUGACGGUACCGGAAGAAUAAGCCCCGGCUAACUUCGUG